UACGUAUGGAGCAAGCGUUAACCGGAUUUACUGGGUGUAAAGGGAGCGUAGGUGGUUUAGCAAGUCAGAUGUGAAAGCCCGGGGCUCAACCCCGGUACUGCAUUUGAAACUGCCAGACUAGAGUGCAGGAGAGGUAAGUGGAAUUCCUAGUGUAGCGGUGAAAUGCGUAGAUAUUAGGAGGAACACCAGUGGCGAAGGCGGCUUACUGGACUGUAACUGACACUGGGGCUCGAAAGCGUGGGGAGCAAAC
rnacentral:rRNA from 1 species